CCGCACUCCCGGGGCGUUAAUUACUCAUUCCGAGUAAAGGCGCACCUAGAGCGUACAUGUUGGGUCCCGAAAGAUGGUGAACUAUACCUGACCAGGAUGAAGCCAGGGGAAACCCUGGUGGAGGUCCGUAGGGAUUCUGACGUGCAAAUCGAUCGUCAGAGUUAGGUAUAGGGGCGAAAGACUAAUCGAACCAUCUAGUAGCUGGUUCCCUCCGAAGUUUCCCUCAGGAUAGCUGGUGCCGAUGAUGAUCAGAGUCUCAUCUGGUAAAGCGAAUGAUUAGAGGCCUUGGGG
rnacentral:rRNA from 1 species